rnacentral:rRNA from 1 species
AUUUGCUAUCUGGAGAUGGGGAGAUAGUGGCGAAAUACUUUUCGCACUGGUUGAUAGCUGGUUAUUCCGGAAAUAUAUCUAAGUAUAGCUCUUCGGUUGAUGGGGUUUACAGUUUAAUAAUUCUAAUAGUAUUUAGGGUGUUCUAUCGAAGGAGUCAGCCCCCUCAGGCUAAGCUGAGGGGGCUAUUUUAAAGGAUGGUUAACUAAGAAUGGAAAGGCUAAGAAGUGGGCUUGAAGGAGCUAUCUUUACAGAGUGGGUUAAACCACAAAUGGGCCUUGUACAAUAAAUCAAAUUUUACCUAUCUUUGUGUUGUACGGAAUCUCUUUUUGAAACAAUAGUCAUAGAGGUGAUAAUGUAAAGAUGAGUAGUCGAGAAGUUGUAAGUGUUUUAAGGUCGGGGAGAGAAACGUAAAGGUAUGUUCCGUAUCUUUAAAAAAAGCUAAAGGAACUCGGCAAAUAAGGGGACCGCCUGUUUAUCAAAAACAUGGCUCCCUGAGCAAUAUUGGGGGUCGUGCCUUCCCGGUGAGCUUGC